rnacentral:rRNA from 1 species
UUGGAGGGCAAGUCUGGUGCCAGCAGCCGCGGUAAUUCCAGCUCCAAUAGCGUAUAUUAAAGUUGUUGCAGUUAAAAAGCUCGUAGUUGAAUUUCGGAAUCUGUCCAUCGGUCGGGCUUCAUUGUUCGUACUGGUGUGGUGGGUUCUUACCUUCUGAAUAACCAGCAUGCCAUUCACUUGGUGCGUUGGGGAAGCAGGACUAUUACCUUGAAAAAAUUAGAGUGCUCAAAGCAGGCCAGUGCCUGAAUACAUUAGCAUGGAAUAAUAAAAUAGGACGGCAUGGUUCUAUUUUGUUGGUUUCUAGGAUCACCGUAAUGAUUAAUAGGGAUAGUUGGGGGCAUUAGUAUUCAAUUGUCAGAGGUGAAAUUCUUGGAUUUAUUGAAGACUAACUUCUGCGAAAGCAUUUGCCAAGGAUGUUUUCAUUAAUCAAGAACGAAAGUUAGGGGAUCGAAGACGAUCAGAUACCGUCGUAGUCUUAACCAUAAACUAUGCCGACUAGGGAUCGGAUGAUGUUAUUUUUAAUGACUCAUUCGGCGCCUUACGGGAAAC